rnacentral:misc_RNA from 1 species
AAGUCGUAACAAGGUUUCCGUAGGUGAACCUGCGGAAGGAUCAUUAAUGAAUAUAAAUCGUACUGUUCACGCAGUAUGUGGGGUGGUGACUUCGGUCCCGCUCAUUCAUAUCCAUAACACCUGUGCACUGUUGGAUGCUUGCAUCCACUUUUAAACUAAACAUUAUUGUAACAAAUGUAGUCUUAUUAUAACAUAAUAAAACUUUCAACAACGGAUCUCUUGGCUCUCG